rnacentral:SRP_RNA from 1 species
GCUGGGCAUAGUGGUGUGUGCCUGUAGUCCAGCUACUAGGGAGGCUGAGGUGGGAGGAUUGCUUGAGCCCAGGAGGUUGAGGCUGCAGUGAGCUGAUUGUGCCACUAUACUCCAGCCUGGCAACAGAGCAAGAUCCUAUCUCAA